AGCGAACGCUGGCGGCAGGCUUAACACAUGCAAGUCGAGCGGGCACUUUCGGGUGUCAGCGGCGGACGGGUGAGUAACGCGUGGGAACGUGCCCUCUGGUUCGGAAUAACUCAGGGAAACUUGAGCUAAUACCGGAUACGCCCCUUUGGGGACAGGCUUGCUGCCGGAGGAUCGGCCCGCGUCUGAUUAGCUAGUUGGUGAGGUAACGGCGCACCAAGGCGACGAUCAGUAGCUGGUCUGAGAGGAUGAUCAGCCACACUGGGACUGAGACACGGCCCAGACUCCUACGGGAGGCAGCAGUGGGGAAUAUUGGACAAUGGGCGCAAGCCUGAUCCAGCCAUGCCGCGUGAGUGAUGAAGGCCUUAGGGUUGUAAAGCUCUUUUAUCCGGGACGAUAAUGACGGUACCGGAGGAAUAAGCCCCGGCUAACUUCGUG
rnacentral:rRNA from 1 species